GACUCUCGGCAACGGAUAUCUCGGCUCUCGCAUCGAUGAAGAACGUAGCGAAAUGCGAUACUUGGUGUGAAUUGCAGAAUCCCGUGAACCAUCGAGUUUUUGAACGCAAGUUGCGCCCGAGGCCGUCAGGUCGAGGGCACGCCUGCCUGGGCGUCACGCACCGAGUCGCCCCCUUCCCCCGCACCUUGACGGGUGCGGCCUCGGGACGGGGAGCGGAUACUGGCCCCCCGUGCCUCCGGGCGCGGCCGGCCCAAAUACUGGCCCUGCGCGGCCGGCGCCACGCUCCGCGGUGGUCGAUCGUUAAACGUCGUCGUAUUCCGGAACGCCUGCGCGCCGAGCCGCACGAGGACCGCGAGGACCCCUCGGAACGUCCGACAGGACGGAUCCCACUCU
rnacentral:misc_RNA from 1 species